GUUCUUGAGGUGUAAAUUGCACAUUAGGUUUUCAUCCUAAAGGUAUAAAGUAAAUUUAUCUAGAAUA
rnacentral:tRNA from 1 species